rnacentral:rRNA from 1 species
ACCUACGGGAGGCAGCAGUGAGGAAUCUUUGUCCCUUGUCUUGAGACUGACCCAGCCAAGCCGCGUGAGGGAUGAAGGUACAGAGUAUCGUAAACCUCUUUUGUCAGGGAACAAAGGCGGGGACGUGUCCCCGGAUGAGUGUACCUGAAGAAAAAGCAUCGGCUAACUCCGUGCCAGCAGCCGCGGUAAUACGGAGGAUGCGAGCGUUAUCCGGAUUUAUUGGGUUUAAAGGGUGCGCAGGCGGUCUGUUAAGUCAGCGGUCAAAGCCCGGGGCUCAACCCCGGCCCGCCGUUGAAACUGGCAGG